rnacentral:rRNA from 1 species
UACGAAGGGGGCUAGCGUUGCUCGGAAUCACUGGGCGUAAAGGGUGCGUAGGCGGGUCUUUUAAGUCAGGGGUGAAAUCCUGGAGCUCAACUCCAGAACUGCCUUUGAUACUGAAGAUCUUGAGUUCGGGAGAGGUGAGUGGAACUGCGAGUGUAGAGGUGAAAUUCGUAGAUAUUCGCAAGAACACCAGUGGCGAAGGCGGCUCACUGGCCCGAUACUGACGCUGAGGCACGAAAGCGUGGGGAUCAA